CACGACGGGUCGCCGAAACGGUCACGCCAUGACCGGGCCGAGCAGCCCUUGGGGUGAAGUCGCAGCAGCGGCCGGGCAACUUCGCCAGCCCGAACCCGACAGGUCAUCCUUCGUAGGCGGCAGACGAAGGGUUG
rnacentral:sRNA from 1 species